CUGAUGGGUUCUGUCGGGUUGGGUUUAUUGGGUUACUGUUAUCCGUUAGUCAAGAGUCUUUUCAAAAUUAUAAAAGUCAACGCUUUUUGAUGUUGGUAAACAUUGAAGUUAUUGAAAUGAUUUCGUUGCAGUGAAACCCUUUCAAUAAACCUGUAGCCUAUUAAGAAACACUGCCAAACCCAAAUUAAAGCUAUGCCUCUAACCAAAGUAACUGCCGCACCUGAACCGCCUCCUCUGGAACAAAAAUCUGAUGAUCGCAGAUUGUGGAUUGGAAAUUUGGACACAUGUGUGAGUGAUUUGAUUUGCUGUUUCAUCAC